rnacentral:lncRNA from 1 species
CACGACUACGCGCUGCCCAACGCGCGGCCGCCCGGCCCCGAACAGCCGCCGGGCGCGGAGCCCGAGGAGGAGUGGGCGGCCCCCGGCGGGAUCUGCCUGCACGUGGAGCGGGAUCAGGUGUCGGUGGAGUUCUGCUCCAUCUGCGCUCGGCGAGCGGCCGCCUCCUUCAAAACGUAGGGUCCGCUACCCGCCGCAAGUACCGGCGGGGUGCUCGCCCCUCUGGGGCCUCGCGUCGUGGUGCAGAGGAAAGAAGGAAAAAAGUAACAGCGGUGCUGGGGUGGUGCUGGGGGAGAUGCGGAGGAGGGGAAGCUGUCGCCUUCGGGUGACAAACGAACGCCGAGUGACCGCAUCGGCCAAAGGCCGCGUCAGCCCGGCAGCGGUGUGAGCCGAGCGGUGCGCGGUGCCGAGCGCGGUGGUGACGCGGAGCUGCCGGCACGGCCCGGCUCUGCACGCGCGGAACAGACGGUGCCGACCUGAGGCGGGACGGCGUGCGCGGGUCCGCCGUGCGGCUGCCAGUAGAGAUAACGCUGACCCGGCCGGGUUUGUGUCAGCCGAUGCCUAGCCCGCUUAUCCCGACCAGCCGAAAAUGCUUGCUUAGAAAACCAAAACCUUCGUUAAGACAUCGUCACCGGACGGCAAGUAGUAACGAUCGGCAAAAGAAAGCAUGCGUAUAAAAUUGUGCUGCCUCUUGGUUAUACGUUACUAUUAAAACCUCUCUGACAGUUUCUCUUUUAGGUGCUUGCCCUGCCAGGCUCCGUUGUGUAGGGGUUAAAGAGCAGUCGUUUCCCACCUCGCAACCUGUGGAUUCAGCUGUGUUGGGGCAGAAGAGACGGGACCAGCUGCUGGCCACAUUUCCUGCUUUAUUUUAAAAGGUAGUAUAAGAAAUGAGAAUAAAGAGGUAACAGGGCUUUUGCUGUCUUUGUUUAAACAAACAAACAAAAGAAGGUUGAAUGCUGGGAUUCAUUAGCUGUCAUUCGAGAUGUUUUUUAGAAGACAGUAUCCUAACCAAGCAGGUUUUCCUCCAGUGUUUUCAGAAUUCCAUCUGUUCAGGGUACACUGCCAGCACAAGAGAGACUUAAGACGUGCAUUACUGCGGUGGCAUUGGCAGGACUGUUCCAAGGUUCAGUCUUUAACUGUGAGACCUGCUGUAGGUGGUGGGUUCUGCCAGGACCGUCUCAAGAUGUGUACUGACUGAUACGCAACAUGGAAUUAGUGAGUUAGAUUGAGCCUAGGUUGAAUCUGCCUGGCUCAGGCUUCACAACCAUGCUUCAGUUUGAAUUUUAGUGUACAUGAGGAGAAGGGAAACAAUAAUGCAGCAAGUAUGGGCUGUCACAGUGGCAUUUCUACAGUCACUUCAGUGCAGAAGUUUAUCUUAAGUUAAAUAUGCAUUAUUUCGUUUUGCAUCACUGCAAACCAUUAGGAGUCAGGGAUCUCUGUUAUGAUGUUGUGAAGCUGCACAUCACUCCGGUCAUGAAACCACCCGUGAGCUGUGUCUGAGAGUGACUGAUGUUCUGGUACACACAGUGACAUAUACCUGCGCAAGAACAAGGUCAAGUCCAAGAAAGUAAGUGGUUCUGUGAGUUAAAGUCUGAUGAUACAACUCCUGGAAAUACCAUCGUUCACUGCCUAGUAAAAUAUUUGUGAGAAUCUCUAAAGUGGAGGAUGAUGAAGGUAAGGCUGGCCAAAACGUCCCCUUAGAUGCAGGUCAGUGUGAGAACA